rnacentral:rRNA from 1 species
UACGUAGGGGGCGAGCGUUGUCCGGAUUUAUUGGGCGUAAAGAGCUCGUAGGCCGUUCGGUAAGUCAGAUGUGAAAACUCCAGGCUCAACUUGGAGAGGCCAUCUGAUACUGCCGUGACUUGAGUCCGGUAGGGGAGCACGGAAUUCCUGGUGUAGCGGUGAAAUGCGCAGAUAUCAGGAGGAACACCAGCGGCGAAGGCGGUGCUCUGGGCCGGUACUGACGCUGAGGAGCGAAAGCGUGGGGAGCGAACAGG